rfam:Salmo salar isolate Sally breed double haploid chromosome ssa15, whole genome shotgun sequence.
AAUGCACCAAUUUGUAAGUCGCUCUGGAUAAGAGCGUCUGCUAAAGAGUAGAGU